GCAAGUCGAACGAACCUUCGGGUUAGUGGCGGACGGGUGAGUAACGCGUGAGAAUCUGCCCUCAGGAGGGGGAUAACAGCUGGAAACGGCUGCUAAUACCCCAUAUGCCGCGAGGUGAAAUGAAUUUCGCCUGAGGAUGAGCUCGCGUCUGAUUAGCUAGUUGGUGUAGGUAAAGGCUCACCAAGGCAUCGAUCAGUAGCUGGUCUGAGAGGAUGAUCAGCCACACUGGGACUGAGACACGGCCCAGACUCCUACGGGAGGCAGCAGUGGGGAAUUUUCCGCAAUGGGCGAAAGCCUGACGGAGCAACGCCGCGUGAGGGAUGAAGGCCUCUGGGCUGUAAACCUCUUUUAUCAAGGAAGAAGAUCUGACGGUACUUGAUGAAUAAGCCACGGCUAAUUCCGUGCCAGCAGCCGCGGUAAUACGGGAGUGGCAAGCGUUAUCCGGAAUUAUUGGGCGUAAAGCGUCCGCAGGCGGCCCAGAAAGUCUGCUGUUAAAACGUGGAGCUUAACUCCAUCAUGGCAGUGGAAACUGUUGGGCUUGAGUGUGGUAGGGGCAGAGGGAAUUCCCGGUGUAGCGGUGAAAUGCGUAGAUAUCGGGAAGAACACCAGUGGCGAAGGCGCUCUGCUGGGCCAUCACUGACGCUCAUGGACGAAAGCCAGGGGAGCGAAAGGGAUUAGAUACCCCUGUAGUCCUGGCCGUAAACGAUGAACACUAGGUGUCGGGGGAAUCGACCCCCUCGGUGUCGUAGCCAACGCGUUAAGUGUUCCGCCUGGGGAGUACGCACGCAAGUGUGAAACUCAAAGGAAUUGACGGGGGCCCGCACAAGCGGUGGAGUAUGUGGUUUAAUUCGAUGCAACGCGAAGAACCUUACCAGGCCUUGACAUCCUCGGAACUUUCUAGAGAUAGAUUGGUGCCUUCGGGAACCGAGUGACAGGUGCUGCAUGGCUGUCGUCAGCUCGUGUCGUGAGAUG
rnacentral:rRNA from 1 species